GACGAACGCUGGCGGCGUGCUUAACACAUGCAAGUCGAACGGUGAAGCGCUUUCCUUUUUGGUUGGUGUGGAUGAGUGGCGAACGGGUGAGUAACACGUGAGUAACCUGCCCCCUUCUUCUGGAUAACCGCAUGAAAGUGUGGCUAAUACGGGAUAUUCUGCGCCUGCUGCAUGGUGGGUGUGGGAAAGAUUGUGCCUUUGGGUGUUUUCGGUGGGGGAUGGGCUCGCGGCCUAUCAGCUUGUUGGUGGGGUGAUGGCCUACCAAGGCGGUGACGGGUAGCCGGCCUGAGAGGGUGGACGGUCACACUGGGACUGAGACACGGCCCAGACUCCUACGGGAGGCAGCAGUGGGGAAUAUGGCACAAGGGGCGCAAGCCUGAUGCAGCGACGCCGCGUGAGGGAGGGAGGCCUUCGGGUUGUGAACCUCUUUCGCCAGUGAAGCAGGCCUGCUCCUUGUGGGUGGGUUGACGGUAGCUGGAUAAGAAGCGCCGGCUAACUACGUG
rnacentral:rRNA from 1 species